rnacentral:rRNA from 1 species
UGGCGGCGUGCUUAACACAUGCAAGUCGAGCGAGAAACUACAUGCAGACACUUCGGUAGAAGCGAGUAGCGGAAAGCGGCGGACGGGUGAGUAACGCGUGGCAACCUGCCCUUCACAGAGGUAUAGCCUCGGGAAACCGGGAUUAAAACCACAUAAAAUCAUAGGUUCGCAUGAACCAAAGGUCAAAGAUUUAUCGGUGAAGGAUGGGCCUGCGUCUGAUUAGCUGGUUGGUAGGGUAAAAGCCUACCAAGGCGACGAUCAGUAGCCGACCUGAGAGGGUGAUCGGCCACAUUGGAACUGAGACACGGUCCAAACUCUACGGGAGGCAGCAGUGGGGGAUAUUGCACAAUGGGGGAAACCCUGAUGCAGCAACGCCGCGUGAGGUAUGAAGGCCUUUGGGUUGUAAGCCUCUGUCCUAGGGGAAGAAAAAAAUGACGGUACCCGAGGAGGAAGCCCCGGCUAACUACGUGCCAGCAGCCGCGGUAAUACGUAGGGGGCAAGCGUUAUCCGGAAUUAUUGGGCGUAAAGAGUGCGUAGGUGGUCUACUAAGCGCGGGGUGAAAGGCAAUGGCUCAACCAUUGUUAGCCUUGCGAACUGGCAGACUUGAGUGCAAGAGAGGAAAGCGGAAUUCCUAGUGUAGCGGUGAAAUGCGCAGAUAUUAGGAGGAACACCGGCGGCGAAGGCGGCUUUCUGGAUUGUAACUGACACUGAGGCACGAAAGCGUGGGUAGCAAACAGGAUUAGAUACCCUGGUAGUCCACGCCGUAAACGACGAGCACUAGGUGUCGGGACAUGAGUCUCGGUGCCGCAGUUAACGCAAUAAGUGUCCGCCUGGGGAGUACGCACGCAAGUGUAAAACUCAAAGGAAUUGACGGGGACCUGCGCAAGCAGC